rnacentral:misc_RNA from 1 species
UCUAUGGAGACAUGGAUGCUUGAAGGAGAGCAAUCCUAAUCCAAAGGUCAGAUCGAGUUUGACUUGUCGUUGUUUAAUUUUGAAGGCCCUUUGGAAAAAAGGGAAUUCAACCCUAAUAUACGGGGGUAUAGCUCAGCUGGGAGAGCACCUGCUUUGCAAGCAGGGGGUCAGCGGUUCGAUCCCGCUUAUCUCCACCAAAGGUUUGAGAAUACCGAAACCGUUAACUAAAUGGGCUUGUAGCUCAGGUGGUUAGAGCGCACGCCUGAUAAGCGUGAGGUCGGAGGUUCGAGUCCUCUCAAGCCCACCAAAGUUUGACUUUCGUCAAACGAAUGUACCUUGAAAACUGAAUACAGGUAAAUGUGAAAUGGAAACAACGAGAUAAUGUAACAAAUAUUUGAAGCUUUAAACUUUUCAAAAAAAUUUAAAGGGUAAGAUAAACUACAAUAAAGUCGAGUUGAGAAAAUUAACGAACAAAGGACACAUAAUUCUAAAAAGGUCAAGCUAAUAAGGGCGCAAGGGGAAUGCCUUGGCAUUGGUAGCCGAUGAAGGACGUAGCAAUCUACGAUAAGCUGCGGGGAGUCGAAAGCAGGCAUCGAUCCGCAGAUUUC